rnacentral:rRNA from 1 species
CCCUUGCGGCCGUACUCCCAGGCGGGGCACUUAAUGCGUUAGCUACGGCGCGGAAAACGUGGAAUGUCCCCCACACCUAGUGCCCAACGUUUACGGCAUGGACUACCAGGGUAUCUAAUCCUGUUCGCUCCCCAUGCUUUCGCUCCUCAGCGUCAGUUAAUGCCCAGAGACCUGCCUUCGCCAUCGGUGUUCCUCCUGAUAUCUGCGCAUUUCACCGCUACACCAGGAAUUCCAGUCUCCCCUACAUCACUCUAGUCUGCCCGUACCCACCGCAGAUCCGGAGUUGAGCCCCGGACUUUCACGGCAGACGCGACAAACCGCCUACGAGCUCUUUACGCCCAAUAAUUCCGGAUAACGCUUGCGCCCUACGUAUUACCGCGGCUGCUGGCACGUAGUUAGCCGGCGCUUCUUCUGCAGGUACCGUCACCUUGCGUUUUUUUCUCU